rnacentral:rRNA from 1 species
AACGAACGCUGGCGGCAUGCCUAACACAUGCAAGUCGAACGAGACCUUCGGGUCUAGUGGCGCACGGGUGCGUAACGCGUGGGAACCUGCCCUUAGGUUCGGAAUAACUCCCCGAAAGGGGUGCUAAUACCGGAUAAUGUCUUCGGACCAAAGAUUUAUCGCCUUUGGAUGGGCCCGCGUUGGAUUAGCUAGUUGGUAGGGUAAAAGCCUACCAAGGCGACGAUCCAUAGCUGGUCUGAGAGGACGAUCAGCCACACUGGGACUGAGGCACGGCCCAGACUCCUACGGGAGGCAGCAGUGGGGAAUAUUGGACAAUGGGCGAAAGCCUGAUCCAGCAAUGCCGCGUGAGUGAUGAAGGCCUUAGGGUUGUAAAGCUCUUUUACCCGGGAUGAUAAUGACAGUACCGGGAGAAUAAGCUCCGGCUAACUCCGUG